GCCUCCGGGGGGCAGCAGUGGGGAAUAUUGCGCAAUGGACGAAAGUCUGACGCAGCGACUCCGCGUGCUUUCUUCCUGUUUUCGUAUCGUAAACCUCUGUCAGGAGGGAAGAAAGCGCAUGGCGCCAAUCAGCCAUGCCUUGACGGUACCUCCCCAGGAACCGCCGGCUAACUCCGUGCCAGCAGCCGCGGUAAUACGGAGGGCGCGACCGUUAAUCGGCAUUACUGGGCGUAAAGCGCGCGUAGGCUGUUG
rnacentral:rRNA from 1 species